rnacentral:rRNA from 1 species
UGGGGAAUAUUGGACAAUGGGCGAAAGCCUGAUCCAGCCAUGCCGCGUGUGUGAAGAAGGCCUUUUGGUUGUAAAGCACUUUAAGCGAGGAGGAGGCUACUUAGAUUAAUACUCUAGGAUAGUGGACGUUACUCGCAGAAUAAGCACCGGCUAACUCUGUGCCAGCAGCCGCGGUAAUACAGAGGGUGCGAGCGUUAAUCGGAUUUACUGGGCGUAAAGCGUGCGUAGGCGGCUUCUUAAGUCGGAUGUGAAAUCCCUGAGCUUAACUUAGGAAUUGCAUUCGAUACUGGGAAGCUAGAGUAUGGGAGAGGAUGGUAGAAUUCCAGGUGUAGCGGUGAAAUGCGUAGAGAACUGGAGGAAUACCGAUGGCGAAGGCAGCCAUCUGGCCUAAUACUGACGCUGAGGUACGAAAGCAUGGGGAGCAAACAGG